UGAGUUGCGAACGGGUGAGUAACGCGUAGGUAACCUGCCUUGUAGCGGGGGAUAACUAUUGGAAACGAUAGCUAAUACCGCAUAACAAUGGAUGACACAUGUCAUUUAUUUGAAAGGGGCAAUUGCUCCACUACAAGAUGGACCUGCGUUGUAUUAGCUAGUAGGUGAGGUAAUGGCUCACCUAGGCGACGAUACAUAGCCGACCUGAGAGGGUGAUCGGCCACACUGGGACUGAGACACGGCCCAGACUCCUACGGGAGGCAGCAGUAGGGAAUCUUCGGCAAUGGGGGCAACCCUGACCGAGCAACGCCGCGUGAGUGAAGAAGGUUUUCGGAUCGUAAAGCUCUGUUGUAAGUCAAGAACGGGUGUGAGAGUGGAAAGUUCACACUGUGACGGUAGCUUACCAGAAAGGGACGGCUAACUACGUGCCAGCAGCCGCGGUAAUACGUAGGUCCCGAGCGUUGUCCGGAUUUAUUGGGCGUAAAGCGAGCGCAGGCGGUUUGAUAAGUCUGAAGUUAAAGGCUGUGGCUCAACCAUAGUUCGCUUUGGAAACUGUCAAACUUGAGUGCAGAAGGGGAGAGUGGAAUUCCAUGUGUAGCGGUGAAAUGCGUAGAUAUAUGGAGGAACACCGGUGGCGAAAGCGGCUCUCUGGUCUGUAACUGACGCUGAGGCUCGAAAGCGUGGGGAGCGAACAGGAUUAGAUACCCUGGUAGUCCACGCCGUAAACGAUGAGUGCUAGGUGUUGGAUCCUUUCCGGGAUUCAGUGCCGCAGCUAACGCAUUAAGCACUCCGCCUGGGGAGUACGACCGCAAGGUUGAAACUCAAAGGAAUUGACGGGGGCCCGCACAAGCGGUGGAGCAUGUGGUUUAAUUCGAAGCAACGCGAAGAACCUUACCAGGUCUUGACAUCCCGAUGCUAUUUCUAGAGAUAGAAAGUUACUUCGGUACAUCGGUGACAGGUGGUGCAUGGUUGUCGUCAGCUCGUGUCGUGAGAUGUUGGGUUAAGUCCCGCAACGAGCGCAACCCCUAUUGUUAGUUGCCAUCAUUCAGUUGGGCACUCUAGCGAGACUGCCGGUAAUAAACCGGAGGAAGGUGGGGAUGACGUCAAAUCAUCAUGCCCCUUAUGACCUGGGCUACACACGUGCUACAAUGGUUGGUACAACGAGUUGCGAGUCGGUGACGGCGAGCUAAUCUCUUAAAGCCAAUCUCAGUUCGGAUUGUAGGCUGCAACUCGCCUACAUGAAGUCGGAAUCGCUAGUAAUCGCGGAUCAGCACGCCGCGGUGAAUACGUUCCCGGGCCUUGUACACACCGCCCGUCACACCACGAGAGU
rnacentral:rRNA from 1 species